AUGCUCUGUAUAUAAUAGGGGGCCAUGCCAACCCUGGUCCAAAAUAUUUCAUGGGCUAUUAAUAUAUGAAAAGGUUAGGCCAAGCCUGGCUCACAAGGCCAUACAAAAUGCUUGUAUUCAAGGCCAACUUGCUUUUACCUGAAAUCCAAACCCUUGAAAAGAAAACCCUGAAAUUGAAAUUGAAGAGAUGCAUCCAAAUGCAAGAAAGAGAGGGUCUUUAAUCUCUUUGAAUCCAAAAUUAUGUUCUUUAGAAGCAGGUUUCUCUCCUUUCCCCUGGUGAUUGGAGCUGUUAUCAUUGGAGUCGUUUCAGGGAAGGCAAUAUUUGGACCCCCACUUGAUGAGUACUGGAAAAAGAAGCUUGAUGAAGAGGCAGCAGCAAAAGAGACUGACACAAGCUCCACCUAGCAAAUAAUACUUGGAAAGAACUUCUGCACAACAAUAGCGGAGAAAUCAAUUUUCCAGUUUGCUUAUUCAUAUGUUUUAUUCAAUUUUUAAAAUGUAGAAUCUGGAGCACAUGAUGCUAUAUUUUAGAUAAGGUGGGGUCCCAGCUACAUCUGUGGGAGGAUAAGAUAAACAUGGUUGGUUAUGUUAUCAUUUUGCUUGUUUUCUGGUCAAAGGAGAAAGGCUUAAGCAACCUUUACCUCAUAACUGCCCUUGAAUUGCACUUCCCAAUAAAUAAUGUUGUUGAAUUUUGUUCUCA